rnacentral:miRNA from 1 species
UGUGUGUGUGUGUGCGUGUGUGUGUGCUCGCGCACACAUGUGUGCGUGCGUGCACACACACACAUACACACACA